UUAAGAUACUAAGAGCAUACGGUGGAUGCCUUGGCGAUAUCUGCCGACGAAGGACGUGACAAGCUGCGAAAAGCUGCGGAGAGAUGCAAAUAAUCGGCGACCCGCAGACAUCCGAAUGGAGAAAUCCGGCUGUGAUGAUGCACAGCCAUCCAUGCCCAAGAGCAUGAGAAGGGAACCGGGCGAACUGAAACAUCUAAGUAACCCGAGGAAAAGAAAUCAAACGAGAUACCCCAAGUAGCGGCGAGCGAACAGGGAAGAAGCCCAAACCGGUGAAGGAAACUUUGCCGGGGUUGAGGACCAUCAGACCCGCGAAGAACCUUAGCCGAAACUGUUGGGAAACAGUGCCAAAGACAGUGAAAGCCUGGUAGGCGAAAAAGAGAAACGCGGAGAUGGCACCAGAGUACCGCGGGACACGAGAAAUCCCGUGGGAAACAGGGGGGACCACCCUCCAAGGCAAAACACAGAUAUCGACCGAUAGCGCAUAGUACCAUGAGGGAAAGGUGAAAAGCACCCCGGGAGGGGAAUGAAAGAGAACCUGAAACCGUAUGUUUACAAGCAGUCGGAGACCGCUUAAUAAUAAGGUCGACGGCGUGCCUAUUGAAGAAUGAACCGGCGAGUUACGAAGCCUGGCAAGGUUAAGCAGGAAAUGCGGAGCCGAAGCGAAAGCGAGUCUUAAGAGGGCGCAAGUCAGGAAGCGUAGACCCGAAACCACAGUGAUCUACCCAUGUCCAGGUUGAAACACAGGUAAAAAUGUGUGGAGGACCGAACCUAUAUCCGUUGAAAAGGGUUAGGAUGAGGUGUGGGUAGGGGUGAAAUUCCAAUCGAACGUGGAGAUAGCUGGUUCUCCCCGAAAUAGCUUUAGGGCUAGCCUCAGGGAAAAGAUUGCAGGCGGUAGAGCACUGAUCAGGAGAGGGACCUACCCGGUUACCAAACCCAGUCAAACUCCGAAUGGCUGCAAUCAUACCUGGGAGUCAGACUGCGACUAAUAAGGGCCGCAGUCAAAAGGGAAACAGCCCAGACCAUCAGCUAAGGUCCCCAAUGCCGUGCUAAGUGGCGAAGGAUGUGGCAUUUCAUAAACAACCAGGAUGUUGGCUCAGAAGCAGCCACCAUUUAAAGAGUGCGUAAUAGCUCACUGGUCGAGAGACGCUGCGCCGAAAAUGUCCGGGGCUCAAGCACGGAACCGAAGCUAUGGCAUGAUAGCAAUAUCAUGGGUAGGGGAGCGUUCUUAUAAGGAAGAAGCAUGACCGGAAGGACAUGUGGACAAAUAAGAAGUGAGAAUGCCGGUAUGAGUAUCGAAAAGAAAGGUGAGAAUCCUUUCCACCGAAAGCCCGAGGGUUCCUGAGCAACGAUCGUCGACUCAGGGUAAGUCGGGACCUAAGCCGAGGCGAGAAGCGUAGGCGAUGGACAACAGGUUGAAAUUCCUGUACCGGAUCAAGUCGAUCGAGCGAAGGAGCGACGCAGGAGGGCACAUGAUCGCGCGGGUGGAAGAGCGCGUCCAAGUGCGUAUGUUGCUGCAGAGGAAAACCCCUGCAGCUAAAAGCAGAGACAUGAUGGGGAGUUAAAGGGAACUUUGACGAACUCAUGAAUCCCACACUGCCAAGAAAAACUUCUAGCGAGACAAGAUCCGCCCGUACCGUAAACCGACACAGGUAGGCGGGGAGAGAAUCCUAAGGUGCGCGGGAAAACCCUCGUUAAGGAACUCGGCAAAUUGCAUCCGUAACCUAGGGAGAAGGAUGGCCCCCGGUCAGUGAAGAGCAGAAACGCUCAGAGCUAAAAGGGGCGGCAGAAAAGAGGCCCAAGCAACUGUUUACCAAAAACACAGGUGCCUGCGAAAGCGAAAGCUGAAGUAUAGGUGCUGACGCCUGCCCGGUGCCGGAAGGUUAAGGAGAGAAGUUAGCGAAAGCGAAGCAUCGAACUGAAGCCCCGGUGAACGGCGGCCGUAACUAUAACGGUCCUAAGGUAGCGAAAUUCCUUGUCGGGUAAG
rnacentral:rRNA from 1 species